ACUCCUACGGGAGGCAGCAGUGGGGAAUAUUGCACAAUGGGCGAAAGCCUGAUGCAGCAACGCCGCGUGAGCGAUGAAGGCCUUCGGGUCGUAAAGCUCUGUCCUAUGGGAAGAUAAUGACGGUACCAUAGGAGGAAGCCCCGGCUAACUACGUGCCAGCAGCCGCGGUAAUACGUAGGGGGCAAGCGUUAUCCGAAAUUACUGGGCGUAAAGGGUGCGUAGGCGGUUUAUCAAGUCAGGGGUGAAAGGCUACGGCUCAACCGUAGUGAGCCUCUGAAACUGGUGAACUUGAGUGUAGGAGAGGAAAGUGGAAUUCCCAGUGUAGCGGUGAAAUGCGUAGAUAUUGGGAGGAACACCAGUGGCGAAGGCGACUUUCUGGACUACAACUGACGCUGAGGCACGAAAGCGUGGGGAGCAAACAGGAUUAGAUACCCUGGUAGGCUCUGCU
rnacentral:rRNA from 1 species